GCGCGAGUGGUGAAAUGGCAGACACGCAUGUUUGAGGGGCAUGUCCCGCAAGGGGUGGGGGUUCAAGUCCCCCCUCGCGCA
rnacentral:tRNA from 3 species